rnacentral:rRNA from 1 species
CCUACGGGCGGCAGCAGUAGGGAAUUUUCGUCAAUGGGCGCAAGCCUGAACGAGCAAUGCCGCGUGAACGAGGAAGGUCUUCGGAUCGUAAAGUUCUGUUGUAGGGGAAAAAGAGCGGAGAGAGGAAAUGCUUUCUGAUUGAUAUUACCCUUCGAGGAAGUCACGGCUAACUACGUGCCAGCAGCCGCGGUAAUACGUAGGAGGCGAGCGUUAUCCGUAAUUAUUGGGCGUAAAGGGUGCGUAGGCGGCCUGCUAAAUCUGGGGUAAAAGGUACCGGCUCAACCGGUACAGGCUCUGGAAACUGGCGGGCUAGAGAGCAGGAGAGGGCGGUGGAACUCCAUGUGUAGCGGUAAAAUGCGUAGAUAUAUGGAAGAACACCAGUGGCGAAGGCGGCCGCCUGGCCUGUUACUGACGCUGAGGCACGAAAGCGUGGGGAGCAAAUAGGAUUAGAUACCCUAGUAGUC